GAUGAGUCUGCGUCCUAUCAGCUAGUUGGUGGGGUAAUGGCCUACCAAGGCGAAGACGAGUAGCCGUCCUGAGAGGGUGAACGGCCACACUGGGACUGAGACACGGCCCAGACUCCUACGGGAGGCAGCAGUGAGGAAUUUUCCGCAAUGGGCGCAAGCCUGACGGAGCGACGCCGCGUGAGGGAUGACGGCCUUCGGGUUGUAAACCUCUUUUAUUAAGGAAAAAGGCAAUCGUGCUAACACCACGGUUGUUUGAUGGUACUUAUUGAAUAAGCCCCGGCUAACUACGUGCCAGCAGCCGCGGUAAUACGUAGGGGGCGAGCGUUGUCCGGAGUUACUGGGCGUAAAGAGCGUGUAGGCGGUUGAAAAAGUCAGGUGUGAAAUUCUUCGGCUCAACCGAGGGACUGCGCCUGAAACUUUUCGACUGGAGUUCGGGAGGGGCAACUGGAAUUCCUGGUGUAACGGUGAAAUGUGUAGAUAUCAGGAGGAACACCGGUGGCGAAGGCGGGUUGCUGGACCGAAACUGACGCUGAGACGCGAAAGCGUGGGUAGCAAACAGGAUUAGAUACCCUGGUAGUCCACGCUGUAAA
rnacentral:rRNA from 1 species